GGAGGGGCGCUCCCAGUUCGAGAACAGUUUUUUCCGCCCAAUAAAACCUUUUCUCUCUGUUGUAGGGGAAAAAAAUCACAAAGUUUAGUAAAGCAAAAAGUUUUAUUCAGCACGCACUCAAAACGGUAAAAGUAGGAAAUCGGACAAGCAUGCUGCCCCAGCCAUGUCUGCUCGACUCCUAGGGCAAAGUCUUCACCACGAAAAGGAAAGAGGAAAGCGAGGGCUUCUCUCUUUGACUGUGAAUUCAUCUUUAUGUGUCAGACUGGAAACCGGAAUCCCAACCUGUAUUAUUUUUGU